GGUUAGGAAACUUAGGUUAAGUGACUUGCCCAACUAGUAUGUGGUGGAACAGAGACUGAGACAUGGGCUUUUACCCAUGUCUUUUAACCCCUCUGCUACUGUGUGUCAUGUGAGAAAUGUUGGAGAGGAAGUCCUGAGGAUCUCCUCCUGAAGAAUUGUCCCCACUACUGGAUCCAAGCCCUCAGAAUCAAUUCAUCCAUGAAACAUUCACUGAGCCUCCUCUGUGUUCCAGGCCCUGAGAAUAAAACGUGGUCUGAGUCUUCAAGUAACUCAGGAGCCAGGGAUGUUUGAACGUGGGUCAGAUGGUCUCUCCCCAGGGCCUGACGGUGAGAGGUGCAGCCUGCAGAAGGCCUUGGCAGUGGAUGUGCAGAGGGCACAGCAAGAGUGGGCAGAGUGGGCAGACCAGGCUGUCUGAGUAAGGGCUCAACACACCUCUGAGGUCCCGCUGCAUGCUCAGCAUGGGUUCCAGGACACAUGCCAGGGCUGCCUUAACACAUUUCUUGUUUCCUUUAGAUUGUCCAAAUUGGGUUUCUGUCACCUGUAACCAAAGAUCCCUGCUGACACAGCCCCUGAGUUCCUCAGACUCAGGAGAGGGACCUUUAAACUAAGAGAGGCUGACCUGUAGAUCAGGAAGUCAACCGACUCAUUUCCCGUGAGAAAUGUCACUGCUCAUUGGGUCAGCCUUUCACAUCAUUACUGCCGGUGUCUCCUUUCCCUGGAGAAAAGCCACCUGCAUUGACACCUGGCCCCUUGGAGCAGGCCACAGGCCCAGCGAGGAUCUAUAGCUAGAGGCAUCAAGCAAGGACUGCCCAAGGGUCAAAAAACUGUUUCUGUUAAGGUUCAGACAGUAAAUAUUGUAGACUUUGCAGUCUCUGUUGAAACCAUUCAACUCUACUACUGCAGUGUGAAAACAGCCAAAGACAGCACAUAAAUACAUGAGCAUAGCUGUGUUCCAAUAAAACUUUACUUAUAAACAUUGAAAUUUGAAUUUCAUACAA